CAAUAGCGUAUAUUAAAGUUGUUGCAGUUAGAACGCUCGUAGUCGGAUUUCGGGGCGGGCCGACCGGUCUGCCGAUGGGUACGCACUGGCCGGCGCGUCCUUCCUUCCGGAGACCGUGCCUACUCUUAACUGAGCGGGGGCGGGAGACGGAUCGUUUACUUUGAAAAAAUCAGAGUGUUUCAAGCAGGCAGCUCGCUCUUGCAUGGAUUAGCAUGGGAUAAUGAAAUAGGACUUUGGUGCUAUUUUGUUGGUUUCGAACACCGAAGUAAUGAUUAAAAGGGACAGUCAGGGGCACUCGUAUUCCGCCGAGAGAGGUGAAAUUCUCAGACCAGCGGAAGACGAACCACUGCGAAAGCAUUUGCCAGGGAUGUUUUCACUG
rnacentral:rRNA from 1 species